UAUGCCCCUAAUGAUAUUGUGGGUGUAGCUGCUGUGUCACAUGUCCUUCAUUUAGUAGAGAGUCUAUGUCUACACUCAGUGAUCUGACAGGUGAACACUGGAAUUGUUAACAUUUCCUGG
rnacentral:snoRNA from 1 species